rnacentral:sRNA from 1 species
UAUAGUAAUUAAAUGAUAUUAAAUAUUUUGGAAGUUUUAUUUUAGUAACUAAUCGUGUAGUUAAUUGGGAGAGAUUUUGGGAAGAUUGUUAAAUGUCAAAUAUUUAAUUCGAAUAUUU